AGAAUCAACGCUGGCGGCGUGCCUAACACAUGCAAGUCGAACGAGAAAGGGGAGCAAUCCCUGAGUAAAGUGGCGACCGGGUGAGUAACACGUGACUAACCUACCCUCGAGUGUGGAAUAACAUCGGGAAACCGAUGCUAAUACCGCAUAACAUCGGCGCUUUUAAGAGAUGCCGAUCAAAGGAGCAAUCCGCUUGAGGAGGGGGUCGCGGCUGAUUAGCUAGUUGGCGGGGUAACGGCCCACCAAGGCGAAGAUCGGUAGCCGGCCUGAGAGGGCGCACGGCCACACUGGAACUGAAACACGGUCCAGACUCCUACGGGAGGCAGCAGUGGGGAAUUUUGCGCAAUGGGGGAAACCCUGACGCAGCAACGCCGCGUGGAGGAUGAAGCCCCUUGGGGCGUAAACUCCUUUCGACCAAGACGAUAAUGACGGUACUGGUGGAAGAAGCACCAGCUAACUCUGCGCCAGCAGCCGC
rnacentral:rRNA from 1 species